rnacentral:rRNA from 1 species
AACGAACGCUGGCGGCAUGCCUAACACAUGCAAGUCGAACGAGACCUUCGGGUCUAGUGGCGCACGGGUGCGUAACGCGUGGGAAUCUGCCCUUGGGUUCGGAAUAACUCAGAGAAAUUUGAGCUAAUACCGAAUGAUGUCGCAAGACCAAAGAUUUAUCGCCCAAGGAUGAGCCCGCGUAGGAUUAGCUUGUUGGUGAGGUAAAAGCUCACCAAGGCGACGAUCCUUAGCUGGUCUGAGAGGAUGAUCAGCCACACUGGGACUGAGACACGGCCCAGACUCCUACGGGAGGCAGCAGUGGGGAAUAUUGGACAAUGGGCGAAAGCCUGAUCCAGCAAUGCCGCGUGAGUGAUGAAGGCCUUAGGGUUGUAAAGCUCUUUUACCAGGGAUGAUAAUGACAGUACCUGGAGAAUAAGCUCCGGCUAACUCCGUGCCAGCAGCCGUGGUAAUGUAUCGUACG